rnacentral:rRNA from 1 species
GUGGGGAAUUUUGGACAAUGGGCGCAAGCCUGAUCCAGCAAUGCCGCGUGCAGGAAGAAGGCCUUCGGGUUGUAAACUGCUUUUGUACGGAACGAAACGGUCCGGGUUAAUACCCUGGGCUAAUGACGGUACCGUAAGAAUAAGCACCGGCUAACUACGUGCCAGCAGCCGCGGUAAUACGUAGGGUGCAAGCGUUAAUCGGAAUUACUGGACGUAAAGCGUGCGCAGGCGGUUUUGUAAGACAGGCGUGAAAUCCCCGGGCUCAACCUGGGAAUUGCGCUUGUGACUGCAAGGCUGGAGUGCGGCAGAGGGGGAUGGAAUUCCGCGUGUAGCAGUGAAAUGCGUAGAUAUGCGGAGGAACACCGAUGGCGAAGGCAAUCCCCUGGGCCUGCACUGACGCUCAUGCACGAAAGCGUGGGGAGCAAACAGGAUUAGAAACCCGGGUAGUCC